rnacentral:rRNA from 1 species
GGGCCCGCACAAGCGGUGGAGUAUGUGGUUUAAUUCGAUGCAACGCGAAGAACCUUACCAGGGUUUGACAUCCUGCGAAUCUCCUGGAAACGAGAGAGUGCCUUCGGGAACGCAGUGACAGGUGGUGCAUGGCUGUCGUCAGCUCGUGUCGUGAGAUGUUGGGUUAAGUCCCGCAACGAGCGCAACCCACGUCUUUAGUUGCCAGCAUUUAGUUGGGCACUCUAGAGAGACUGCCGGUGAUAAACCGGAGGAAGGUGUGGAUGACGUCAAGUCAUCAUGCCCCUUACAUCCUGGGCUACACACGUACUACAAUGCUACGGACAAAGGGCUGCAAGUUCGCGAGGACAAGCAAAUCCCAUAAACCGUGGCUCAGUUCGGAUCGGGGUCUGCAACUCGGCCCCGUGAAGCUGGAAUCGCUAGUAAUCGGAUAU